CAUCCUUCAGCUUAAGAAUCAGGAAAGAACAUUAUUUAAAUGACUCUCAAAAGAUGGAUGCCUCUCCAGCCUUAGUAACUGUGAUGCUCUUGAUACUUGGAAGAACUCAUGCAGACUCAGUGACCCAGAUGGAAAGCCAUGUGACCAUGUCAGAAGGGGCUUUGCUGACUAUAAACUGCACUUACUCAGCUACAACCAUAGCAUACCCUGCUCUUUUCUGGUAUGUUCAAUACCCUGGAGAAGGUCUACAGCUCCUCCUGAAAGCUGUAAAGGCCAAUGAUAAGGUCAGCAACAAAGGUUUUGAAGCCACAUACAAUAAAGAAGCCACUUCUUUCAACUUGGAAAAAGCCUCCAUCCAAGAUUCAGAUUCGGCUGUGUACUACUGUGCUUUGGGUGACACAGUGGCAGAAACUGCAGGGGGAGCUGAGCACAAACUCUGAGAAGCACCCAAGGGCCUGGCUGCUGAGCGUCUGCCUCUGGUACCCAUUCUGUUUUCAGCACAAUUUAUGGUGUCUACAACAGUGUUUCUCUGGUUGAGGCAAAAUCAAACAAAUAUCUAGAGUAGAAAACAAAGAGUGGAAGUCUUUUAACUAGGAUCUUCAUUAGUCAAAGGGAAGACAGAGGCUGACAGCAUUAGUUCCUCAUGCCUGGCCAAAGUAAUUUCAAGGUAAAACCACUCGAACUAUGUAGUGGUCUCUUUGCUCAUCCUUGUCCACAAAACCCAGACCCCAUGUGUUGUUCCGGGUCACUCUGGUAGACAUUGAUGUGGCUUUUUAUAUUUUUAGAGAGACAAAUGUGCCAGAGAAGAUGGC